UUUGGAUGGGGCUAUCUGUCCUAUUUGCACUGCGAAUAAGCCCAGUACAAUCUGGUAGCUUCACCAUCUGCCUUCUGCCCUGAUGUCCUCUGUUGACCUUGCAUAUUCCUGACCCAGAGUAUAGAACAAAAAGUGCAUCCAUGUCCCUUUAACUUCCCUCCAACCUGCAAUUUUUUCUCUCCUCCUCUGGGACUGUGCACGCUGUUGCUGCUCUGUCUGCCAGCAGCCAGUGAGGAGAAUUUCUCCUGUUGGUGAGCAAUCAGUGGGUCGGAGCUGGCACCCUCCCAGCAGACAGCUCCUGUGAGCCAGCAAGCAGAGCACAGGAGAAAAGGAAAAGGCAGACGGAAAUAGAAGGCAAGAGACAACAGCUUGAGGACCAGAUACUUCAGCUGCAGCAUUUCAAGUCAAAAGCUCUUCGGGAAAAAUGGCUCCUGCAGGGAAUUCCUGCUGGCUCUGCAGAAGAAGAAGAAGCCAGAAGGAAGCAGUCAGAAGAGGAUGAGCUGAAGGUGAAAAAGCUGGAAGAAAAUAUACACAGGUAGAGACUCUUUCCCUUU